rnacentral:tRNA from 1 species
GGCUCCUUGGUCAAGCGGUUAAGACACCGCCCUUUCACGGCGGUAACACGGGUUCGAGUCUCGUAGGAGUCA